AGAGUUUGAUCCUGGCUCAGGACGAACGCUGGCGGCGCGCCUAACACAUGCAAGUCGAACGAGAGAUGAGGAGCUUGCUCUUCAAAUCGAGUGGCGAACGGGUGAGUAACGCGUGAGGAACCUGCCUCAAAGAGGGGGACAACAGUUGGAAACGACUGCUAAUACCGCAUAAGCCCACGGUACCGCAUGGCACUGAGGGAAAAGGAUUUAUUCGCUUUAGGAUGGACUCGCGUCCAAUUAGCUAGUUGGUGAGGUAACGGCCCACCAAGGCGACGAUUGGUAGCCGGACUGAGAGGUUGAACGGCCACAUUGGGACUGAGACACGGCCCAGACUCCUACGGGAGGCAGCAGUGGGGGAUAUUGCACAAUGGGGGAAAUCCUGAUGCAGCGACGCCGCGUGGAGGAAGAAGGUUUUCGGAUUGUAAACUCCUGUCGUUAGGGACGAUAAUGACGGUACCUAACAAGAAAGCACCGGCUAACUACGUGCCAGCAGCCGCGGUAAAACGUAGGGUGCAAGCGUUGUCCGGAAUUACUGGGUGUAAAGGGAGCGCAGGCGGGAAGACAAGUUGGAAGUGAAAACCAUGGGCCCAACCCAUGAAUUGCUUUCAAAACUGUUUUUCUUGAGUAGUGCAGAGGUAGAUGGAAUUCCCGGUGUAGCGGUGGAAUGCGUAGAUAUCGGGAGGAACACCAGUGGCGAAGGCGGUCUACUGGGCACCAACUGACGCUGAGGCUCGAAAGCAUGGGUAGCAAACAGGAUUAGAUACCCUGGUAGUCCAUGCCGUAAACGAUGAUUACUAGGUGUUUGGGGGGAUUGACCCCCUCAGUGGCCGCAGUUAACACAAUUAAGUAAUCCCACCUGGGGGAGUACGACCGCCAGGGUUGAAACUCAAAGGAUAUAGAAGGGAGCCCGCACAAGCAGUAGAGUAUGUGGUUUAAUUUAGAAAGCAACGCGAAGAACCUUACCAGGUCUUGACAUCCGAUGCAUAGCGCAGAGAUGUGGGAAAUCCUUCGAGACAUCGAGACAGGUGGAGCAUGGUUGUCAUCAGCUCGUGUCGUGAGAUGUUGGGUUAAGUCCCGCAACGAGCGCAACCCUUAUUGCCAGUUACAACGUUAAAGAGGACUCUGGCGAGACUGCCGUUGACAAAACGGAGGAAGGUGGGGAUGACGUCAAAUCAUCAUGCCCUUUAUGACCUGGGCUACACACGUACUACAAUGGCGUUAAACAAAGAGAAGCAAGACCGCGAGGUGGAGCAAAACUCAAAAACAACGUCUCAGUUCAGAUUGCAGGCUGCAACUCGCCUGCAUGAAGUCGGAAUUGCUAGUAAUCGCGGAUCAGCAUGCCGCGGUGAAUACGUUCCCGGGCCUUGCACAAACCGCCCGUCA
rnacentral:rRNA from 1 species